UACUCCUAAUGAGAAAGCAAGAGGCUCCCGUGGGCAAAGCUGCUGGAAGAGGAGGUGAUGAGCUGAUGAUUAUCUCGCUGACUAUCUCGCUACAGCUGUGCUGGUAGCAGAGCAAUAAUAUGCACAAAAGGAUUAUAUCAUGGAAUCAAGUGCAACGACAGCUUUCAAGGACAUACCCCAUCAUGUUUUACAGGUUGUGCCCAUGGGACAUCAUCUGGCUGUAUUCAGUAACAAACAACAUAGUCAAGCAGGGAGCGGCAAAAUCCUUUGUCAAGCAGAAGCAAAAUACAGAGCAUAGAAAUUGCUCCCGAAGGAUAAGAUUAAAGUCAGCGAGAUCAAUAUCGUUAAGCACCAGAAGGUGAAUUAAGUUGAUCCGGUACAAAGUGAUCCGGACAAAGUGAAGUUGGUCAAAGGCGAGGAAUUGGUUUAUCACCAGCUGGUUCAAAGUGGAUUCUUAAGGGUAUAUGAUUAUGUAA